rnacentral:rRNA from 1 species
CGGAGGGUGCAAGCGUUAUCCGGAUUCACUGGGUUUAAAGGGUGUGUAGGCGGGCAGUUAAGUCAGUGGUGAAAUCUCCAGGCUCAACCUGGAAACUGCCAUUGAUACUAUCUGUCUUGAAUUCUGUUGAGGUGGGCGGAAUACAUCAUGUAGCGGUGAAGUGCUUAGAUAUGAUGUAGAACACCGAUUGCGAAGGCAGCUCACUAAGCAGCGAUUGACGCUGAGGCACGAAAGCGUGGGGAUCAAACAGGAUUAGAUACCCUGGUAGUCCACGCCCUAAACGAUGAUUACUCGACAUACGCGAUACACAGUGUGUGUCUGAGCGAAAGCAUUAAGUAAUCCACCUGGGAAGUACGACCGCAAGGUUG